UACGUAGGGUGCAAGCGUUGUCCGGAAUUAUUGGGCGUAAAGCGCACGUAGGCGGUUCGUUAAGUCGGAUGUGAAAGCCCUCGGCUCAACUGAGGAAGUGCACCCGAAACUGGCGAGCUUGAGUACGAAAGAGGAUCGCGGAAUUCCCGGUGUAGAGGUGAAAUUCGUAGAUAUCGGGAGGAACACCGGUGGCGAAGGCGGCGAUCUGGGUCGAUACUGACGCUGAGGUGCGAAGCGUGGGAGCAACAGG
rnacentral:rRNA from 1 species